CAUUGGAUGAUACUUUACACGGUUACGCCUCCUUAUCACUUGUUCGUCGCAGUUGCUAUAGAAACACUGGACGGAGAACUGAUAAGGGCAUGUGACCAAACAUACUACAGAGGAGAGCC
rnacentral:precursor_RNA from 10 species